UAACAGGAUUCCCCUAGUAACUGCGAGUGAAGCGGGAAAAGCUCAAAUUUCAAAUCUGGCGGCUUCGCCGUCCGAGUUGUAGUCUGGAGAAGUGCUUUCCGCGCUGGACCGUGUAUAAGUCUCUUGGAACAGAGCGUCAUAGAGGGUGAGAAUCCCGUCUUUGACACGGACUACCAGUGCUUUGUGAUGCGCUCUCAAAGAGUCGAGUUGUUUGGGAAUGCAGCUCAAAAUGGGUGGUAAAUUCCAUCUAAAGCUAAAUAUUGGCGAGAGACCGAUAGCGAACAAGUACCGUGAGGGAAAGAUGAAAAGCACUUUGGAAAGAGAGUUAAACAGUACGUGAAAUUGCUGAAAGGGAAACGCUUGAAGUCAGUCGCGUCGCUCGGAACUCAGCCUUGCUCCCGCUUGGUGCACUUUCCGAGUGACGGGUCAGCAUCGAUUUUGAUCGUAGGAAAAGGGCAGAAGGAAUGUGGCACCCUCGGGUGUGUUAUAGCCUUCGGUCGCAUGCUACGGUCGAGAUCGAGGAACGCAGCGCGCCGCAAGGCAGGGGUUUGCCCACUUUCGCGCUUAGGAUGCUGGCAUAAUGGCUUUAAGCGACCCGUCUUGAAACACGGACCAAGGAGUCUAACAUGCCUGCGAGUGUUUGGGUGGAAAACCCGAGCGCGUAAUGAAAGUAAAAGUCGAGACCUCUGUCGUGGAGGGCAUCGACGCCCGGACCUGACGUUCUCUGACGGAUCCGCGGUAGAGCAUGUACGUUGGGACCCGAAAGAUGGUGAACUAUGCCUGAAUAGGGUGAAGCCAGAGGAAACUCUGGUGGAGGCUCGUAGCGAUUCUGACGUGCAAAUCGAUCGUCAAAUUUGGG
rnacentral:rRNA from 1 species